UGCCAGCAGCCGCGGUAAUACGUAUGUCGCAAGCGUUAUCCGGAAUUAUUGGGCUUAAAGGGCAUCUAGGCGGUUUUUCAAGUCAGGGGUGAAAACUUAUGGCUCAACCAUAAGCUUGCCUUUGAAACUGAAAAACUAGAGUACUGGAAAGGUGGGUGGAACUACACGAGUAGAGGUGAAAUUCGUAGAUAUGUGUAGGAAUGCCGAUGAUGAAGAUAACUCACUGGACAGAAACUGACGCUGAAGUGCGAAAGCUAGGGGAGCAAACAGGAUUAGAUACCCUGGUAGUCC
rnacentral:rRNA from 1 species